rnacentral:rRNA from 1 species
UACGUAGGGUGCAAGCGUUGUCCGGAAUUAUUGGGCGUAAAGAGCGUGUAGGCGGCCCGAUAAGUCCGCUGUGAAAGUCCAGGGCUCAACCCUGGAAUGCCGGUGGAUACUGUCGGGCUCGAGUCCGGAAGAGGCGAGUGGAAUUCCUGGUGUAGCGGUGAAAUGCGCAGAUAUCAGGAGGAACACCGAUGGCGAAGGCAGCUCGCUGGGACGGUACUGACGCUGAGACGCGAAAGCGUGGGGAGCAAACAGG